rnacentral:rRNA from 1 species
UACGGAAUAUGCAAACGUUAUUCGGAAUCACUGGGCUUAAAGAGUCCGUAGGCGGCAUGUUAGGUGAGGUGUGAAAUCCCCCGGCUCAACCGAGGAAUUGCGCUUCAAACCGGCGUGCUAGAGGAAGAUAGAGGUGGGCGGAACUGAUGGUGGAGCGGUGAAAUGCGUUGAUAUCAUCAGGAACACCGGAGGCGAAGGCGGCCCACUGGGUCUUUUCUGACGCUGAGGGACGAAAGCUAGGGGAGCGAACGGG